ensembl:lncRNA
CUUGGGGGAAAGAAAACAUGUAAUAAUCAUCCACAAGAAAACUGUAGUGUGAAGUAAAAAACAACAAAAAAAAAAAAACAGGGGUUCUUAAUCAGUUCACUACAAAAAUAUAUUCUAGGCUGAUGCUAAACACCCAGCGUUGUGAGACACAGUACCAAAAUAUUUCCUUGUACGAUCUAAAUAGCAGCCAACCCAAGUCACAACAGGCCCACAGGUACAGACUGAGUCCCAUACAUACUGUAUAUAUUAACAUUUCACUACAAUAGCUUAGUUACAUUCCUAAAUUACAUCAUUCAUUGCUGGGAUAUAAAAACGGUUUACAUAAAAAAUAAUUAAAAAUCAGACCCCAUAGAAAGCUGCCCUCCCCCCAAUAGUACAGCACUGUGAGCUCCGCAGUAGUGACGGCGUACCUGUGGCAGGUUACAGGGUAUAGAGUGGACGGGGGGGGGGGGGGGGGGGCCUCCACCCGAAUGAUUUGAAAACAUUUUCACACCAGCACGGCUUCCAUUAAACAACUUGCGUAUCUUUUUUAGGCAUCAUUGACAACGUGAGAGUUUGAAUACUAUGGAAGCUCAUUUAAAUGUUAAAAUAGCAAAGAUGAGACAAGCUAUUGACAUACCAAGGUACAGUAAAACAAACUUUAAAUUCAAACAGUUUCCUGAAAUUUGUGUAAAAAAAACAAUUUAGAUACAUUUUCUGUCAUUAAUUUACUUAAUGACUUAGUUUUUCAUGUCGAAUCAAAUAAAGUAUUUUGAUUCUACAAUUCAGCCCAUAAUGUCAUAGUACGGUCAAUUAGUUGUAAUAUUAAUCAUGUUUUACUGCUAGGUUCAUUUUUCCUUUUCCCGGCAGAAAUGGGCUUCCACAGUAUUGCUCUUAUAAAUUAAAAAGUAGGCACAAAUCGUGUAGAAUUCAAGCUAUAAAAUAUUUUCAAACAUUAAUAAAAUCCUCCUUCCAGCAGCGUCCACGUGGGCGGAAGAAGGCCGCUGGGACCGCACAGAGCCGGGGCCCCGUGAGAAGGCCGCUGGUGGUGAAGGCUGUGUGGAGUAGGGGGGGGGGGGGGCAGAUGGGAGAUGCUGGUUCGAUCCUGUCACAUGUCAAGUGGCUUCGGGGGGGUAACGGCCGCUGUGAUUGAUUGGGUACAGUCUUUAGGCACAAGUGGUGUCUGUUCUGUCGCCCCUCCAUCCGCACAGGGAGUGAGCCAUCCACUGUCUCUCCACGGUG